UACAGAGGGGGCAAGCGUUGUUCGGAAUUACUGGGCGUAAAGGGCGCGUAGGCGGCCUGCUAAGUCGAACGUGAAAUCCCCGGGCUCAACCCGGGAACUGCGUCCGAUACUGGCAGGCUUGAAUCCGGGAGAGGGAUGCGGAAUUCCAGGUGUAGCGGUGAAAUGCGUAGAUAUCUGGAGGAACACCGGUGGCGAAGGCGGCAUCCUGGACCGGCAUUGAUGCUGAGGCGCGAAAGCCAGGGGAGCAAACGGG
rnacentral:rRNA from 1 species